UACGUAGGGUGCAAGCGUUGUCCGGAAUUAUUGGGCGUAAAGAGCUCGUAGGCGGUCUGUCGCAUCUGCUGUGAAAACUCGGGGCUUAACCCCGGGCCUGCAGUGGGUACGGGCAGACUAGAGUGCGGUAGGGGAGACUGGAAUUCCUGGUGUAGCGGUGAAAUGCGCAGAUAUCAGGAGGAACACCGGUGGCGAAGGCGGGUCUCUGGGCCGUAACUGACGCUGAGGAGCGAAAGCGUGGGGAGCGAACAGG
rnacentral:rRNA from 1 species